rnacentral:misc_RNA from 1 species
UACAACUUCCAGUCUUCAUUUGUUAUUAAUAAAAUUUUAAAAUAAUUUACAAUUUAUUAUUUUAGUAAAAUUACAUCUGGAUAUAAAUAACGUUAAAUAAGACAAGAUGCAUUGUUUUUUAUAAGCAGAGAAGUAUUAUUAUUUUCUCAUUAUAUCAACUUGACAUUCUAAUAAAAUCCAAAUAGAGUGGCAUUUUCCAAGCCAUUAACUUGUGAUGAAGAAAUUGAUUUUAUUUUCCUCACAAGCUUGUUUAACAUAUCUGGAUCAGACUCGAAAAAGCUACCAGCAACGCUCACCACACCUGGAUUCUGGCUACUGAGUACUGAGAAAAUGGUAGCGGACUCAUCGCCAGCAUUCAAGCAGAAGUGAAGCAAACCCCGAGGAAGCACAAACACAUCUCCUUCCUUGAGAAUCUUCUGGAACUGUUGGUUUUUGGUGUCGACAAAUCCAGCAAUCACUACGCCUGCACUGACAAAGAACAGCUCAGAGGCUCUUGGGUGGUAUAGCGGCAAUACUAAACCAUCCACAUCAAGGUCUAUCCUGGAAAUUGAGAGACCGAGGGUGUUCAGGCCAGGGAAAUCUGCGGCAGUGACAAUGGUUGUUGCGGAACGCAGAAAUUUGUUCUUGUCACCAGGGCGACUCAGUUUUGAUGACUUGAAAUCUGAAGGAGUGAUACUGUUAGGGUCCUUGCAAGGCAAACCAUUGAUGAAGAUAGACUGCUUGCUUGUGGGAGCUGCUGGACAAGUAUCCUGGAGAUUAUCGUAGUCUGCCAAGCAGAUCUGAAUGCAAGAACACAUGAUCACGCAAACGAGAAUGGAGGAAUUCAUCUUGGGUUGUUCUUUUUGUGAAGUAAUGGAGUGUUUUUGUUUCUUGUAUGUAUGUAAUGUUGCUCUUGCGAAGUAACGAGUGUUUUCGUUCAUUAUUUGUAUGUGAAAUAUAUGUCUAGAGGUUGCAUGAAAUAAAAGUCAUUUUUGAGGCUUGGAGUUCACUGCUAGAUUUCAAAUAGAUUAUCUUGAAAGCAGAAUUUAAG